GAGUUUGAUCUUGGCUCAGAGCGAACGCUGGCGGCAGGCCUAACACAUGCAAGUCGAACGAACCCUUCGGGGUUAGUGGCGGGCGGGUGAGUAACACGUGGGAACGUACCCUUAGGUUCGGAACAACACAGGGAAACUUGUGCUAAUACCGAAUGUGCCCUUCGGGGGAAAGGAUUUAUCGCCUUUGGAGCGGCCCGCGUCUGAUUAGCUAGUUGGUGAGGUAAAGGCUCACCAAGGCUACGAUCAGUAGCUGGUCUGAGAGGAUGAUCAGCCACACUGGGACUGAGACACGGCCCAGACUCCUACGGGAGGCAGCAGUGGGGAAUCUUGCGCAAUGGGCGAAAGCCUGACGCAGCCAUGCCGCGUGAAUGAUGAAGGUCUUAGGAUUGUAAAAUUCUUUCACCGGGGAAGAUAAUGACGGUACCCGGAGAAGAAGCCCCGGCUAACUU
rnacentral:rRNA from 1 species